CUACUGAGUUCCCUGGAACGGGACGCCAUAGAGGGUGAGAGCCCCGUCUGGUAGGACACCCAGCCCAUGUGAAGCUCCCUCGACGAGUCGAGUAGUUUGGGAAUGCUGCUCUAACGGGAGGUAUACUCCUUCCAAGGCUAAAUACCGGCUGGAGACCGAUAGCGCACAAGUAGAGUGAUCGAAAGAUGAAAAGCACUUUGAAAAGAGAGUCAAAUAGCACGUGAAAUUGUUGAAAGGGAAGCGCUCGCUACCAGACUUGGGUUCGGCGGUUCAACCGGGGCCACGCCCCGGGGCACUCCGCCGUCCCAGGCCAGCAUCAGCUUUCCGUCGGGGGCAAAGACGUCGGGAAUGUGGNUCCCCUCCGGGGGAGUGNUAUAGGCCGGNGUGUCAUACCCUUCGGGGGGGUGG
rnacentral:rRNA from 1 species